UACGUAGGGUGCAGGCGUUAAUCGGAAUUACUGGGCGUAAAGCGUGCGCAGGCGGCUCCUUAAGUCAGAUGUGAAAGCCCCGGGCUUAACCUGGGAACUGCGUUUGAAACUGGGGAGCUUGAGUGUGGAAGAGGGGGGUGGAAUUCCAGGUGUAGCAGUGAAAUGCGUAGAGAUCUGGAGGAACACCGAUGGCGAAGGCAGCCCCCUGGGCCAAUACUGACGCUCAUGCACGAAAGCGUGGGGAGCAAACAGG
rnacentral:rRNA from 1 species